GUUCGAACCCAAUAUUGUAUCACUCUAUCUCGAGCACCAAUGAAGGAACCUACUGAUGUCGAGGGCCGGGUAUCGAGGCUUCAAAAACAUCUUAGAACUACAAUCUAAAGAUGGGAUUUACGCCUAUUUACCCACUGAUUAUAUCGCUGUGUUUGCCUCGCCACUUCUGAAAACAAAAGGAUCCAGCCAUUCUACCGUGGGUAUUUGGACCACGUGACUGGGAGUCCCACAUCUGGUGCAGCAGCAAAGACCAACACAGUGAAGUGCAUAGAAAGUAUGUAAGAGUAUUGAUAAAGUGCGUUCAUUUACAUUCCUGUGUACUGUAGUACUAUUAUAUGUUUUGUGUAAUGAUAUUUUUCCCUGUUUUGUAAUAAAUCCUAAACAUG